rnacentral:rRNA from 1 species
UACAGAGGUGGCAAGCGUUGUUCGGAAUUACUGGGCGUAAAGGGCGCGUAGGCGGUUCGUUAAGUCCUGUGUGAAAUCCCCCGGCUCAACUGGGGAACUGCACAGGAAACUAGCGGGCUUGAGUUCGGGAGAGGGGAGCGGAAUUCCGGGUGUAGCGGUGGAAUGCGUAGAUAUCCGGAGGAACACCGGUGGCGAAGGCGGCUUCCUGGACCGACACUGACGCUGAGGCGCGAAAGCUAGGGGAGCAAACGGG